rnacentral:rRNA from 1 species
AGCGAACGCUGGCGGCGUGCCUAACACAUGCAAGUCGAGCGAGAAAGGGGUGGCAACACCCUGAGUAAAGCGGCGAACGGGUGAGUAACGCGUGGGCAAUCUACCUUCCAGUCUGGGAUAACCUUCCGAAAGGGGGGCUAAUACCGGAUGAUGUCCUGUUGGGGCAUCCUGAGGGGAGCAAAGGGGGCGACCCGCAAGGGGCUCUCGCUGGAGGAGGAGCCUGCGUCCGAUUAGCAGUUGGUGGGGUAACGGCUCACCAAGGCGACGAUCGGUAGCCGGCCUGAGAGGGUGACCGGCCACACUGGGACUGAGACACGGCCCAGACUCCGUACGGGAGGCAGCAGUGGGGAAUCUUGCGCAAUGGGCGAAAGCCUGACGCAGCGACGCCGC